CGGGGCAUGGCGCAUCUUGGUAGCGCGCUUCGUUCGGGUCGAAGAGGUCGUGGGUUCAAAUCCCGCUGCCCCAC
rnacentral:tRNA from 1 species